UUUACUCCUCCUCCACCUUGGGAGCCCUGGGCUACUCUCUUACAGCCCCUGUUGCCCUGUGAUCUGUAGGUUAUUGGGGACGCAUAGUUAGGGCAUCAGGACAUCCUGGAAGCUGGGAAAUGGUAACUUCUUAGACCAAGUCUAGAAACAGUCUCAGGACAAUAACAAUUCCAUUCUAGAAAGAAUCUCCCAACAUUUCUUCUAUCUCAACUCAAUGCAUCUGCUGUGAACUUCCGCUUACCAAGUUUAUUCUUCUGCAGUACAAGGCUCCUUCCAUGGUUGGUGUGAGCAGGCUUAGCCUGCAGGCAGACACCAGGAAUAAUCAACUGGCCUUCAGUGCCCUUUGCAGGGUCAAGAUAUGUAUUCAUUUCCUACCACCGUAGUGGAAGAAGACUAUCCCUAUCUUUACACUGAUAGCAUUUCCAACAGUAAGCUGUGAGAUUCUGCUUGAAAUCACCUCUCAAACAAAUAAAAAACAGACCUGGGAAACUGCUACACUCAUUCUGCUGAAGAAAUAGGGCAAGAAUAUUUUCUAAGACCCCGAACUCCAGAUAUGCGAUGGGGCAAAUCCUGAAGUGUACAUGGCUAUCUCUCACUGCUAAAUCAUCCCUCACCCCUAUCCAGCGCUUCUUACCCCUGGCGCAAGAGAAUCACCUGCGGGGAGGAAAACUUUCAAAAUCCCUUAAACCCAAGUUGUAACCGCACAAUUAAAUCAGAAUCCUUGGAGCUGGAUCUGAAAAAAAUAUGGUUUAAA
rnacentral:lncRNA from 1 species